CCUAAAGAUCAACAUAUGGCCUCAGGAAAUGAUCGAGUUAGGCUAAUUGCACCAAGGUGGCAUGGCAGAAGCUACAUGAAGCAUCCAUUUAAGAGAUGGAAAAAACAUCAAGAAAGAAGACCAGAAGCCAAAAGUCCAUGAAAUGAUAAAAAGUGAAGAUUCUGUCCCGAUGGUUUGCCCUGCUUUCUGAACAGAAGUACAAAUCCAACACAGGAACAUCAGAACAGGACCAGAGCGAUGUUCAGAAGAAGUCUGGUGGUCAGGGACUGAG
rnacentral:lncRNA from 1 species